UACGGGGGGGGUAAGCGUUGUUCGGAAUUACUGGGCGUAAAGGGCUCGUAGGCGGCCAACUAAGUCAGACGUGAAAUCCCUCAGCUUAACUGGGGAACUGCGUCUGAUACUGGAUGGCUUGGAUUCGGGAGAGGGAUGCGGAAUUCCAGGUGUAGCGGUGAAAUGCGUAGAUAUCUGGAGGAACACCGGUGGUGAAGGCGGCAUCCUGGACCGAGAUUGACGCUGAGGAGCGAAAGCCAGGGGAGCAAACGGG
rnacentral:rRNA from 1 species